rnacentral:misc_RNA from 1 species
GUGGGAGGGGGCUUGCCCCCGAUGACGGAGUGUCAGUUGCAGUUAUUUGGCUGAUACACCGCCAAUCGGGGGCAAGCCCCCUCCCAC